rnacentral:rRNA from 1 species
UACGAAGGGGGCUAGCGUUGCUCGGAAUCACUGGGCGUAAAGGGUGCGUAGGCGGGUUAUUAAGUCAGAGGUGUAAUCCUGGAGCUCAACUCCAGAACUGCCUUUGAUACUGAUAGUCUUGAGUAUGGGAGAGGUGAGUGGAACUGCGAGUGUAGAGGUGAAAUUCGUAGAUAUUCGCAAGAACACCAGUGGCGAAGGCGGCUCACUGGCCCAUUACUGACGCUGAGGCACGAAAGCGUGGGGAGCAAACAGG